rnacentral:rRNA from 1 species
UACGGAGGAUGCAAGCGUUAUCCGGAUUUAUUGGGUUUAAAGGGUGCGUGGGCGGAAGGUCAAGCAGGGGGUGAAAUGCCGGUGCUCAACACCGGAGCUGCCUUCUGAACUGGCCAUCAGGAGUGGCAGUGCCGUUGGAGGAAUGAGUGGUGUAGCGGUGAAAUGCUUAGAUAUCACUCAGAACACCGAUUGCGAAGGCAUCUGACGAACUGCCCACUGACGCUGAGGCACGAAAGCGUGGGGAUCAAAC